GUAGUCCACGCCCUAAACGAUGUCAACUGGUUGUUGCUAAGGUUCCUUCUCAGUAACGUAGCUAACGCGUGAAGUUGACCGCCUGGGGAGUACGGCCGCAAGGUUGAAACCCAAAGGAAUUGACGGGGACCCGCACAAGCGGUGGAUGAUGUGGUUUAAUUCGACGCAACGCGAAAAACCUUACCUACCCUUGACAUGUCUGGAAUUUCGCAGAGAUGUGAAAGUGCUCGAAAGAGAGCCAGAACACAGGUGCUGCAUGGCCGUCGUCAGCUCGUGUCGUGAGAUGUUGGGUUAAGUCCCGCAACGAGCGCAACCCUUGUCAUUAGUUGCUACGAAAGGGCACUCUAAUGAGACUGCCGGUGACAAACCGGAGGAAGGUGGGGAUGACGUCAGGUCAUCAUGGCCCUUAUGGGUAGGGCUACACACGUCAUACAAUGGCCGGUACAGAGGGCUGCCAACCCGCGAGGGGGAGCUAAUCCCAGAAAACCGGUCGUAGUCCGGAUCGCAGUCUGCAACUCGACUGCGUGAAGUCGGAAUCGCUAGUAAUCGCGGAUCAGCUUGCCGCGGUGAAUA
rnacentral:rRNA from 1 species